rnacentral:rRNA from 1 species
GACAGAGGUGCCGAGCGUUAGGCGGAAUCACUGGGCUUAAAGCGUGUGUAGGCGGGCCGUUAAGUACCUUGUGAAAUCCCCCGGCUCAACCGGGGAAUGGCUGGGUAUACUGGCGGUCUUGAGCGAUCUAGGGGCAGAUGGAACAAGUGGUGGAGCGGUGAAAUGCGUAGAUAUCACUUGGAACGCCAAAGGUGAAGACAGUCUGCUGGGGAUCUGCUGACGCUGAGACACGAAAGCCAGGGGAGCAAACGGG